GGGAGCUAAGGUGAGGCCUAACGGCGUAGCCGAUGCACAGACGGUAGAGAUUCCGUCACCACCAAAAGAGUUAAGCACAGGGACACAUUUGAAGUCUCGGAGCCGGGUGUUGGUUCCGGUAGCGAUCGAGGGAAGUUAGUACCGAAGUCCGGGAUGGAAGAUGGCGAGAAAAGCUGUGUGUAUUUCUGCGGUGCCCGUACCGCAAACCGACACAGGUAGGUAGGAAGAAGAUUCUAAGGCCAACGGGAGAAGGGUUGUUAAGGAACUCGGCAAAUUGACCCCGUAACUUCGGGAGAAGGGGUGCUCCAGAGAUGGAGCCGCAGAGAAUCGGCCCAAGCAACUGUUUACCAAAAACACAGGUUUGUGCUAAAUCGAAAGAUGACGUAUACGAGCUGACGCCUGCCCGGUGCUGGAAGGUUAAGAGGAGAUGUGCAAGCAUUGAAUCGAAGCCCCAGUGAACGGCGGCCGUAACAAUAACGGUCCUAAGGUAGCGAAAUCCCUUGUCAGGUAAGUUCUGACCCGCAUGAAAGGCGUAAUGAUUUGGGCACUGUCUCGACAGCCCGCCCGGCGAAAUUGUAGUACCGGUGAAGAUGCCGGUUACCCGCGACAAGACGGAAAGACCCCAUGGAGCUUUACUGUAGCCUAAUAUUGGGUUUCGAUGUUGCAUGCACAGGAUAGAUGGGACACAGGGAAACAAGUGCUUUGGCAUUUGUGGAGUGGCCGUUGGGAUACCAUCCUUGCGAUAUUGGAAUUCUAACCUGCGCCUUUGAAUCAAGGCGGGGGACAUUGUUAGGUGGGCAGUUUGACUGGGGCGGUCGCCUCCUAAAGAGUAACGGAGGCGUUCAAAGGUUCGCUCAGCUUGAACGGAAAUCAAGCAAAAGAGUGCAAACGCAGAAGCGAGCCUAACUGCGAGACUGACGGGUCGAGCAGUAACGAAAGUUGGAGUUAGUGAUCCGGUGGUAUGUGAGUGGAAAUGCCAUCGCUCAACGGAUAAAAGUUACCCUGGGGAUAACAGGCUGAUCUCCCCCAAGAGUCCACAUCGACGGGGAGGUUUGGCACCUCGAUGUCGGCUCAUCGCAUCCUGGGGCUGUAUUCGGUCCCAAGGGUUUGGCUGUUCGCCAAUUAAAGCGGUACGCGAGCUGGGUUCAGAACGUCGUGAGACAGUUCGGUCCCUAUCUGUCGUGGGCGCAGGAUAUUUGAUGGGAGCUGUUCCUAGUACGAGAGGACCGGAGCGGACGUACCUCUGGCGCACCAGUUGUUCUGCCAAGGGCAUAGCUGGGCAACUAUGUACGGAUCGGAUAAACGCUGAAAGCAUCUAAGCGUGAAGCCGACCCAAAGAUAAGAUAUCCCAUUGUUUCAAACAAGUAAGACCCCUUGAAGACUACAAGGUUGAUAGGCAUGAUGUGUAAGUGGAGUGAUCCAUUCAGCAAGCAUGUACUAAUAGGUCGAGGGCUUGACC
rnacentral:rRNA from 1 species